rnacentral:tRNA from 1 species
UCCCUGGUGGCUCAGUUGGUAAAGAAUCUGCCUGCAACGCAGAAGCUCCAGGUUUGAUCCCUGGGUCGGGAA